rnacentral:rRNA from 1 species
AACGAACGCUGGCGGCAUGCCUAACACAUGCAAGUCGAACGAGACCUUCGAGUCUAGUGGCGCACGUGUGCGUAACGCGUGGGAACCUGCCCUUAGGUUCGGAAUAACUCCCCGAAAGGGGUGCUAAUACCGGAUAAUGUCUUCGGACCAAAGAUUUAUCGCCUUUGGAUGGGCCCGCGUUGGAUUAGCUAGUUGGUAGGGUAAAAGCCUACCAAGGCGACGAUCCAUAGCUGGUCUGAGAGGAUGAUCAGCCACACUGGGACUGAGACACGGCCCAGACUCCGACGGGAGGCAGCAGUGGGGAAUAUUCGAGAAGGGGCGAAAGCCUAAUCCAGCAAUGCCGCGUGAGUGAUGAAGGCCUUAGGGUUGUAAAGCUCUUUUACCCGGGAUGAUAAUGACAGUACCGGGAGAAUAAGCUCCGGCUAACUCCGUG